CGGGAUGUGGCGCAGUCUGGCUAGCACCCCGGGCUGCUAGCGCGCUCGCUUCGGAUGCGAGAAGUCGUGGGUUCGAAUCCCACCACCCCGAC
rnacentral:tRNA from 1 species